AUGGCUGUGUCUCUGUCAAAAACUUGAGGUAAAUAGAAAAGGUGUAUGCCAAAGUGGAAUCAUAUCCUAUAAAAAAGAGAAAAAAGAGGAAGCAUAUCAGUCUUUCCAUCUUGAGGGACAUAUAAAAAGUCGCAAUUUUGUCAGUUCCCGUGGCUGCUGCUUUUGCUAAUAUAGCUAUCAAUAGAUUAAUACAGAUAUCUAAUGAAGAAAAAAAAACACUUACUCAAAAGCUGCAAAGGUAGUCAGCAGCAGCAGCAGCAGCAACAAAGGCAGACAUAAAAAGCUUGCUAGCUGCAUCCGUGGAUUCAAUUCAACUUAAAAGCUCCAAAGUUUGAGCUAGCUUUUGGAGUUUGGAUCAAAACAAAGUUCCUUCAUGCGCCUCAGAAUCCAGUAUCUGCAGAUUAAUGGCAACAGAAGCUGAAAUUCCAGAAUCUAUAUCUGUCACGGACCAAGCGGCAGCUUUAGACUGGGAGAUGACUGAGACUGCACAACUGGAGAGAAACAAGUGCUCAUCAUGUCAAAGGAACCCCUAUUUGUUGCACUGGGAGAUGACUGAGGAGUUGGACAAGUUACACUGUUCCCGUACAAGAGCUGUUGUUACUCGCGAAUUGUCAAAACUUCAUUAUCAUUCUUUGCAACGUGUUCUACUGCCAAUUCUGCUUCCAAAAAACCUUUGCUUUCUUGUAUUCUCACAGUCUAUAAGCAUAAGUAUCAUCGAACUCCAACACAAUCCUAUUCAAAUCAAACAAGUCAACAGAACCCAAAUUUUUGUCUCUAAUUGCACUGCAAUUAUGUACCUCUUCCUUUGUGGGCAACGCUUAUGGAUACAAGCAAAGGUUUUUUGGAAGAUGCUGCUUGAGGAAGAAGAAGAGAGCGAACGCAUGUUUAGAGGAAUAAACCUUUUUUCUUUUUUCUUUUUUGAGAGAGCAGACCCAUUUUUUUAAGGAGCAAACUGUGCUGCACGUUUUUAAUUGUUAUCAAAAUGCAUUUAAUUUGGUUA